CUGAUACACUUUGUACACUAACAGCACACUUGUCUUCUCAGAAGUUAAUUCCAUUAUCUUCAAUAGGGUUUACUCCAGGUAACUGGGUAUAGGAUUUCAGCCUAACGCUGCAUAUUUUGCAGGGUGAACGUCCCAUUGAACUGAGUGAGGCUACCAAGAAAACAAGCAUUGGAUUGGGCUGUAAAAGUGCUAUAACCUCGAUUAAUAACUAUAUUUUAUCCUAUCAAACUUCACUGUGUGAAGUUGAAAAGCCAAGAAAGGUAUUUUGUGUAAUGCCUUUUUACUUCCAAAUAUUCUACUAAAUCUAUUCACCAUUUCUGUUGUUCUCCCUGCAGAGUCCCUGACUUUUCCAGGCACUUGCCAUGAAGAGAGAGAGAGAAAAGAAAGGGGAAAGAAAGGAACAAGAACACUGGUCAUAAAUCAAGCAAGCAUGUGGCAUAUCCUUCAGAUGAAUCCAUUUGUGCCACUUGUAUUUUUUAGAAUUAGGAGACAUGCAUUUGUCAAAGAAGUCUCAAAGGAGGCAGCAAUGAGGGUCAGAUACACAGGCGAGCUGAAUGAAGUCAACCCAUUCCCAGACUACACUACAAUGAAGAGAUGCAUCAUUCUCAUUGUCCUCUAAUGUAAUCGUUCUUUGGGAUAUUCAUUUCCCACUUUGGUUCCUAAUAAUCAAGGGGAAAUG